CGACUCCUCACUCAAUACUUCGGUGAGAAUUAUCUAGCGCCCACAAAACCUUUUCAACACAUGACCUUACCAUUUGGAAUCAAUAAUGUUACUCGGCCAACAAAAACUGCCCCAUAAUCAGCUUACCAAUCAAAAGCCCAAUAAUAUGAACAAGCAGAAAUCCUUAAUCAUCUCAUGGAUUUCCAAAUAGCCUGAUCAUGCUCAACACAUUACAGGAUCUCUUCAAACAACAAUUACAAUAACAUCAUUCAAACAGAUUUAAAGUUUUAGUUCCUGUUAAGCCACUGCCAUCAGUUUGAUUUAAACCUAAGCAAAUUACUGUUGCUCUAACCAAAGCGACAGACAAACUAAACCAACGGAAUCUAAUAUAUGGUGUUCCGUAUUUCAACAGUUUGAGGAAGGCUAUAUCAACUCCAGAAACAAGGCUUCUUGUUUAUUGGUCAGACCAAGUUCAUUCAAACGUAAUGAGCAGUCACCAGUGCAGAAGGUGCGUCUAGGAUAUGGCCUCAACUGUUCAAGAAUGAAACGAACCUAAGAGUCAGAAAAUAUAAAUAACUAGCUAAUUAUUUCGCCUAACUAAUUGUUCAAGAGGGUUCUUAAUCCAAGGACGAGUAGUCAAGAAAUCAGAUAACACUCACCACCCUGUAAGUUCCAGGCUUCACUGUUCUACCAAGAUCAAUAAAAUCAAAAAGAUGCUACAGGGAAAAAGGCAAAGAAAAUCAGUCUAGCCAAGAGAGAAAAAAAAAAAAAGGUGAACUUGCUAAAGAUUUGUGAACAUAUCACCUGAAGCUUGUCAGACUUGAGAAAGCGACGUCCACGGCGGCUGCCAUCUGGCAUACGAACAAGAAGAGUCACUGCAUUUGUGUCAUCGACAGCUGGCUCCUGAGGAAGUGAAGCUUCUUUUGCAGCUAUUAAUCUCUCAGAUUCCUACCAUUAGUGAGAUUCACAUAUCCUUUUAAUGCAGAUACAAUCAAUGCCAACCAGAUAAAUUUUUACCAUGCAGUUGGAAGGACCAUAAUCCAUCAAGGAUGUUUAAGAAAAGAGAUUAUGUCAGUCACUUUCCAUUUCAUCGGGCCAUAAAGAAAUUGAUUUUUUAUUUUUAUUUAUUUUUAUUAUAACUCAUAAAGACACAGAGGACAGAGAUAUUAUUGAGAAUUAUGAUUGUGACCACAAACCAUGUCUCAACUACAAAAGGGAGAUCAAAUAGCCACUGAUUCAGAUAAAAUUGUACAGGAACAUGUAAAGAAAUGGAAUCCAAGAUAAAUAAAUGUCAAAAACUUAUAAAUACUAAACCAAAUACUCGGCAAUGCCAGAACUUAAUGGAUACACUCCUUAACUCUCCAUCAAUUGUCUUCUUUUGAGAUUCACCUUCCUUCAAGUAAGAAGUUUCAGGUCCGUUGAAGGCACUUGUCUCUUUUUCUCCAUCGGCUAAAAGGGAUGCAAGAUAGUCAUCAUCCUGAUGUUCUUAUAGUAACUGCCAUGCCAUAAGUGAGUGUGAUGGUUGAUGGGGUACUUGCUGUGGAUGGAGGCAUUUACUUUUAUGUGGAGCAGUGUGUGGAUGAGGUGUACAUUGGGAUGAAGUACCUUCAGGAGUUUCACCAAAAAGUGCCACCUCAAGAAGAAUUGCUUCAUCAAACUCCUUGGAAGAAAUGCUCCUCCAAUCUUAAUUUUUGACUCACCAAUGAUCAUUUUUGCAAAUCCUCAGCUCCCACUUGAAAAGAUGAGCUUCCUGGCUUUAAUUUCAAAAGGAAAAAUAUAAGACCCUCAUAAAGAUUUUUUUUUCUUUUUUUAAAUCUUUAGUUUCAUAGGGAAAAUCAGAAACUCCUAUAAUAUCUUAUAUAUGUAUUAUGUUUUAGGUCUCAUCAUCAAAAUAAAGUGGCAUAAUAGCUGAACAAAGGCUAACCUAAAGGGAUAUGUUUUUAACUUUAAACUUAAUAGAACUUUCUAGAAAAAUAUCUAAACGAUAGUGUUUCUUAUGCAUGUAAAGAGAAAACAAUGCCUGCAAUUUCCAAGUUAUGAAUAUCAACUGCAGUGACAUUGUUUGAACAACCACAUUUUUGGUUACCAAUUGUUAGACUGAGGUCUUUGCAAGUGCAACUAGAAGUGUGUGCACACACGUGCCAUCUGCCAUCAUUAGUUUUCUCAGCUCUUCAGAUGAAUUGUGAAUUACCAAAUGUUUUUGGUCCUCUGCUAUUUCCCUUUCAUGUUCUGUUGUCUGCACACAGUUCAUGUUAAAAGGAACCAAUGAUAGCUAAGAUAAGAAAACAGAAUUUUGAAAUAAAAGCACAACCUUCAAGGACAAUGAUAUCGCAUAAGCAAGUUCAUCCUCUUCUGGAUGAAGCUGCCUUUGCAGAGUGUCUGAAUCGUCCUGGACCAACAUGGGUGGGAAGUAUUAAAAAAGAAAACCCAAGAAAUAGGCCAAGGAAAUGACACUAACUUUGGUACAGCUGAUUUGGAGGACCCUAUUUACCUCCUGUUUUUAAGCCUCAAUAGCAAAUUGAAUCAUUUGUUCUUCUAUAUUAUUACCGGGCAACUGUGCUCCUUUAUCCCUUGAGACAUUUCCAUCAAAUUGAUGACCAUCAGUUCAUGAAGUUUGAUUUUCAUCCCCAAAUGCAGGCCGUUCUCCAUAAUGAUAAGGCUGCUCAUAACUACUGUCGAUUCUCUGACAUGUGAAUGUAAUGGCUCAUGAUUUGUGAAAACAGAAGCACCCAGUUGGUUCAAAAGAUUUCUCCUAUAUUUGGGAUCAAAUAGUAACGAAGACUUGAAACUUCUAGCAGUAGACAGAAGUGGUAAAAUCCCACGUGAACUGGCUUGUCUGAUUGCUUGUAUCCGCAAAAUUAUAUUGAGGAGAAACAGCAGAUGCUGGACUUAAACUGCAUAAGAAAGCACAAUGUUACAAUAAUAAUAUCACAGAUACCCAUAAAAAGGGCAGUAUAUUUCACACUAAGUUGCACAAGAAACUGAGAAAAAUGACAAGAUUGUUUGAAAAUAUAAACAGCCUCAUCAAGAUUGCCUUCAUAUUCCGGGUUACCAAACACAAUAAACCACAGAGAAGUUAGAGGUAUAGAAAGACGCGUAUAAAUGACUAA
rnacentral:misc_RNA from 1 species